UAGAUUUUUAAAGGCCAAAAAAUCUAUAUUAAUUAAUACAAUAUACGGCAUAAUUAAUAAACCCUAGAUAUACGAGAUAUCAAGUAACACACACAAAAGAUGGCAGUAAAGUUUGGGCAAUUCGCUAUACACAUGGAAAUCAACAACAAAAGAAAAAGAAAAGGUUAGGCCAAUUUGGAAGGUUCUCUUCGUCCCCCUUGCGUGUCAAGGAGAGCACGACGCACGUUAACAGCAAUUCAUCCAUCGAUUCCCAGUUCCUUCGAACCGAUCCAUCACAUUAUUUCUCGCUCUUGUUGCUUCUUCCCCUUUUUACUCUCGUGUGUGUGUAUAUAUAUAUAUAUAUAAACUACAGGCCGACCCCUCUUGCUUCAGAGCUGAGCUUAGACUUAGCUAUACCAAUAUCGACUAUAUAUUUAUAUAAUAUCUAUAAGCAAGGCCUUACCUUUCAGAGUUUGCUUCUUCAGCUUAUCAAGAAAUUUAUUAGGUGAUAGAUAAAAGGAUAAAGCAUAUACCUGAAAUGAGAGGUCUUUGUUUCUUUCUUCUUGUUUUCUUGUUUUUCUUCGUUUCUUGUCCAUUUUCAAAGACCCAAACUUAGAGCUGCCUUAACGUCUAGCCUCCAUGCAAACCCACCGGACUCCAUCUUCCACACAUCACACGGAACCAUCUGUGAGAAUUUCUCCUGCCACGCGUAUUGUAACCUAACCCAGCACGUAAACGCUGGGUAGUACAGGUAUGGCAAUAGUUUCUCUUUUAUCAACACCCUCACCGUAAUUUGUUCCACCGACAGCUGCUUCCCGUCGUCAUUUUCCGGCCUCAACAACACCAUCUUCUUAUAAGCUUCGUUCACCCAAUCUACUCUACUAAUACCGUCCGAUAUAAACCCAGGACACGUGUCCUCCUUCAGAUUAUUUAUUAUUUCCGCGUCCGUGCCCCCUAACCAUCCUACCAAAUCCAUGCACGUGUCUGUCACGCUCUCCACUGUCACCAACGUCUCUAUUGUUCUCUUCUCAGCUAUCGCCCCCGUCCGAUCUGUGACGGCAAGGCAACUUAGAUCAUCACUUAUUAGUUUUCUGGAGUUUAACAACUCGGAUGGAUCUGUACGCUGUUGCACAUGUUCUUUUCUGACGGUGCGAUCAACACCACUGCUAGAUCCUUUGUCUAUGGGUGAAUCUUGUGUUAGAUCAGUUUUCUCUGGAAGCAGCUGGAGCGUGGAAAGCUUCUUGUUUGAAUCAUCUUCUCUACCAGCUCUUUCAAGAUCUGAUGAUUUCUUUUUUCUUCUUCUUUUGUAGUAUUCGUUACUCUUCUUAACCCUAACGUACUUUCUCUUGGUCCUUACACUAGUAACCACACCGUUCUUGUUAUCUGGCUUCCAGAAGCUAGAGCUUGAGCCGUCAGUUGCUGGUUUCGGCGCAAUCGGCCGGAAUCUGAGCAUUACUCGGUUGAUUAUCGUCUUAUCCUGCGCAGCAGCCGCGCAUGUAAUCACGCGCCACCCUUCCCUACCAUCCAUCUGCCCUCAACCACUACGUAACUCCACUCUCUUGCUCACUUGCACAGCAAAACUCUCUGCCCUUCUGUGUGUUCUCUCUCUCUCUCUCUCUCUCUCUC
rnacentral:misc_RNA from 1 species